GGGGAAUAUGGGACAAUGGGGGGAACCCUGAUCCAGCCAUGCCGUGGGUGUGAAGAAGGCCUUAUGGUUGUAAAGCACUUUAAGCGGGGAGGAGGCUCUUCUAGUUAAUACCUAGGAUGAGUGGACGUUACCCGCAGAAUAAGCACCGGCUAACUCUGUGCCAGCAGCCGCGGUAAUACAGAGGGUGCGAGCGUUAAUCGGAUUUACUGGGCGUAAAGCGUACGUAGGCGGCUUUUUAAGUCGGAUGUGAAAUCCCUGAGCUUAACUUAGGAAUUGCAUUCGAUGCUGGGAAGCUAGAGUAUGGGAGAGGAUGGUAGAAUUCCAGGUGUAGCGGUGAAAUGCGUAGAUAUCUGGAGGAAUACCGAUGGCGAAGGCAGCCAUCUGGCCUAAUACUGACGCUGAGGUACGAAAGCAUGGGGAGCAAAC
rnacentral:rRNA from 1 species